AAAGCGGAUUCUGCGCGUAUUUUUCGACGAUUUUAUAAAUGUGAUCAUCGUCAGUCUGCGAAUGGCGGUGGUGAAUAUUAAUAUGAACCAAACGAGUUUGUCUAUGUGCCUAGCUGCACAAGUGCACGCGAACAUAUUAUAAUUAUUUGUAAUAAAAACGGACAUACUUUACACGAUGUGCGAACAUCCCUGUUGUAGGUGAGAAGUUGAAAAAAUAGAAUACUGAAGGGAA